rnacentral:rRNA from 1 species
UUCCGGUUGAUCCUGCCGGACCCCACUGCUAUCGAGGUGGGACUAAGCCAUGCUAGUCGAACGACCCGGACUAUGGCGGGAAGUGGCAGACUGCUCAGUAACACGUAGCUAACCUACCCUUGGGACGGGUACAACCCCGGGAAACUGAGGUUAAUACCCGAUAGGUGUGGAAUCCUGGAAUGGUACCACGCCCAAAUGUAAAUGCAUCCAUGUUUGCGUGCACGCCCGAGGAUGGGGCUGCGGCCGAUCAGGCAGUUGGUGAGGUAACGGCUCACCAAACCUUUGACCGGUACGGGCCAUGAGAGUGGUAGCCCGGAGAUGGGCACUGAGACAAGGGCCCAGGCCCUACGGGGCGCAGCAGGCGCGAAACCUCCACAAUUCACGAAAGUGAGAUGGGGUUACCUCGAGUGCCGCCUGAAGAAGGCGGCUUUUCCAUUGUGUAAUGAGCCGUGGGAAUAAGAGGGGGGCAAGACUGGUGUCAGCCGCCGCGGUAACACCAGCCCCUCGAGAGGUGGGGAUGAUUAUUUGGCCUAAAGCGUCCGUAGCCUGCUCUGUAAAUCUUUCGUUAAAUCCAGCGUCCUAAGCGUUGGGCUGCGAGGGAGACUGCAGAGCUAGAGGGUGGGAGAGGUCAGCGGUAUUCCUGGGGUAGGGGCGAAAUCCAUUGAUCCCAGGAGGACCACCAGUGGCGAAGGCUGCUGACUAGAACACGCCUGACGGUGAGGGACGAAAGCUGGGGUAGCGAAUCGGAUUAGAUACCCGAGUAGUCCCAGCCGUAAACGAUGCAGGCUAGGUGUUGGGUUGGCCACGUGCCAGCUCAGUGCCACAGGGAAGCCAUUAAGCCUGCCGCCUGGGGAGUACGGCCGCAAGGCUGAAACUUAAAGGAAUUGGCGGGGGAGCACCACCAGGCGUGAAGCCUGCGGUUUAAUUGGAGUCAACGCCGGG